AUGUCCAUGCGCGACCGCGGCGCCUCCACCGUGUCCCCGUCGCUGCGCUUCCUCGGCUUCAUUAAGCAGCCGGAUGACGCCGGCGCUGCCGACCAGGAGCUCGAGCUCGACGAGCGCGACGUAGUCUGGUCGUCGUCCCCCUCCUUCUCCUCGGCCUCCACCGCCUCGUCGCCCUCGCCCACGCCGUCCCCGUCCGGGGGAAGCCACCGCUGGCCCCUCUCCUCCCGCGCGUUCCCGUCCGGCGGCGCCGGCCUGUCGUCGCUCAUCGCCGACGAGGACAACCACUCGCCCAGCGCGGCCAUCCCGGCCGCGGCCCGACGGGAGAAGCAGCCGCGCUCGCAGCCGUACCACCAGUCUGCGCCGGUGGCCGUGCCCGCCUGGUCCAAGGCGACGGCGGACAGGCGACGCCGGGAGGCGGAGCAAGAGGCCGCUGACGAGGAGGAAGAGUUGGAGGACGACGAACUCAUGGUGCCGCCGCAUGAGAUGGCCGCGCGCCGGGCCGCGGCGGCGGCGUCGGUGAUGGAGGGCGCUGGGCGGACGCUGAAGGGGCGCGACCUCCGGCGCAUGCGCAACGCCGUGUGGCGCACCACCGGCUUCCUCGACCUGUGA
rnacentral:rRNA from 1 species